rnacentral:rRNA from 1 species
UACGAAGGGGGCUAGCGUUGCUCGGAAUCACUGGGCGUAAAGGGUGCGUAGGCGGGUUUUUAAGUCAGAGGUGAAAUCCUGGAGCUCAACUCCAGAACUGCCUUUGAUACUGAAAGUCUUGAGUAUGGGAGAGGUGAGUGGAACUGCGAGUGUAGAGGUGAAAUUCGUAGAUAUUCGCAAGAACACCAGUGGCGAAGGCGCUCACUGGCCCAUAACUGACGCUGAGGCACGAAAGCGUGGGGAGCAAACAGG